UGGGGAAUAUUGGACAAUGGGCGCAAGCCUGAUCCAGCCAUGCCGCGUGUGUGAAGAAGGCCUUUUGGUUGUAAAGCACUUUAAGCGAGGAGGAGGCUACUUGGAUUAAUACUCUAGGAUAGUGGACGUUACUCGCAGAAUAAGUACCGGCUAACUCUGUGCCAGCAGCCGCGGUAAUACAGAGGGUGCGAGCGUUAAUCGGAUUUACUGGGCGUAAAGCGUGCGUAGGCGGCUUCUUAAGUCGGAUGUGAAAUCCCUGAGCUUAACUUAGGAAUUGCAUUCGAUACUGGGAAGCUAGAGUAUGGGAGAGGAUGGUAGAAUUCCAGGUGUAGCGGUGAAAUGCGUAGAGAUCUGGAGGAAUACCGGUGGCGAAGGCAGCCAUCUGGCCUAAUACUGACGCUGAGGUACGAAAGCAUGGGGAGCAAACAGG
rnacentral:rRNA from 1 species